GACAAAUACAGACCCAGAUUGGGCAGCACCCCUGGCCUUUCUCUGGCGACCCCCCUCAGGGCCAUGCCCUACAUUAUCCCUACAUUUAACUCCGCGGCACCAAAGAGGGGCGACACACCUCUACCACCUUUUCUCUGCUGACAAGCUCCUGGACUUCACCAGUCUAAAGGAUAAAUUUGAGAUCCCACACUCCUCGCUCUACUCCUAUCUGCAACUUAAAUCUUAUUUAUCUAGGGAAG